UCCCGCUUCACGUCCAGGACAGAGUUAACAUAAUUAAUUUUUGCAUUUAUAAUUUAAUUUAUGAAAUAAUUAAUAUUCUUUAAAUGUGGAGCACGUUUUCACCUGGUUAUCGUCGAAGAUUAAAUUUAAAUUGAUUGCUGAGGAUACUAAAUUUAGAAGAGUGCAAUUCUCAAACCGUAUUAAAGAUGCUUUGUCAAGAAUAAAGUAGUAAGGGAAAGAGUGUUUCCAGUUUGCUUUCCUUCAAAAAGUUCUCAUACUGGUCAUUUUACUAGAGAUGAUACUUAUUACUUAAGUAUAAAGACGUCCGAAACUUGUGUUGUUUAAUGAAUCUUAAUGUAAGUAAAGAUGU
rnacentral:lncRNA from 1 species